UUGAAUCCAAAGGAUGUUGCUGGCAUCGCAAGGUGCAUGUGCACUCCGCCUUUUCAAUCCACCUGUGCACACAUUGUAGGGAGCGGAUUAAGUUCUGCUUCCUAUGUUUUCAUACACACUAUAAAGUUACAGAAUGUCUUUUAACGAUUGCGCAAGCAGUCAUUAAACCUAUA
rnacentral:misc_RNA from 1 species